rnacentral:rRNA from 1 species
AGAGUUUGAUCAUGGCUCAGGAUGAACGCUAGCGGGAGGCCUAACACAUGCAAGCCGAGCGGUAUUGUUCUUCGGAAAUGAGGGAGCGGCGUACGGGUGCGGAACACGUGUGCAACCUGCCUUUAUCUGGGGGAUAGCCUUUCGAAAGGAAGAUUAAUACUCCAUAAUAUAUUGAUUGGCAUCAAUUAAUAUUGAAAGCUCCGGCGGAUAGAGAUGGGCACGCGCAAGAUUAGCUAGUUGGUGAGGUAACGGCUCACCAAGGCGAUGAUCUUUAGGGGCCUGAGAGGGUGAUCCCCCACACUGGUACUGAGACACGGACCAGACUCCUACGGGAGGCAGCAGUGAGGAAUAUUGGUCAAUGGGUGCAAGCCUGAACCAGCCAUCCCGCGUGAAGGACGACUGCCCUAUGGGUUGUAAACUUCUUUUGUAUAGGGAUAAACCUACCCUCGUGAGGGUAGCUGAAGGUACUAUACGAAUAAGCACCGGCUAACUCCGUG